UACAGGGGGUGCAAACGUUGCUCGGAAUUAUUGGGCGUAAAGCGCACGUAGGCGGUUCGUUAUGUCGGAUGUGAAAGCCCUUGGCUCAACCGAGGAAGUGCAUCCGAAACUGGCGAGCUAGAGUAUGUAAGAGGGUCGCGGAAUUCCCGGUGUAGAGGUGAAAUUCGUAGAUAUCGGGAGGAACACCGGUGGCGAAGGCGGCGACCUGGGACAAUACUGACGCUGAGGUGCGAAAGCGUGGGGAGCAAACAGG
rnacentral:rRNA from 1 species